GCGUCAGUAGGUUGGUCGUGCCACCGGUACGUACUGGUCUCACUGAUUCCUCCUUCCUGAAGAACCGUAAUGCCAUUAAUUUGGUGUUGCGGGGAAACAGGACUGUUACUUUGAAAAAAUUAGAGUGUUUAUAGCAAGCUAACGCUUGAAUACAUUAGCAUGGAAUAAUGAAAUAGGACGAUCGAUCCUAUUUUGUUGGUUUCUAGGAUUGACGUA
rnacentral:rRNA from 1 species